UUUUAGGAGCCUGUUCUCGCCUUCUACCGUGUGGGGUCUGGGGAUUGAACUUGGGUCACUGGGCUUGGUGGCAAGCCCCCUUGCCUGCUGAGCCACCUUUGCUAAAGCCCUUUUUCCUUCUCUUUGCCUUUUUUAAUGGAGAGAAGGCUUGCCAGCAGCCAGGAGCAUUUCUAUGAGAUACGCAGCUGAAUAAUGUCUCAGGAGGCGUUUAUGAUCUAAUCCUUGGACUCCAUCAAUGUGACUAGGAAUGUUGCAGCGUGACUAAUUGAAGGAUGUUGAGGGGAGAGGUUAUAAGGAGUUUUCAUAUGGUCUUUAAUGUAAUCCCACUGUUCUACAUAACAGGAAAGCUGAGGAGGAAACUGAGUGGUCAUGAGGCAGAGGUGGUAUGAUGUGACCAUAAGCCAAGAAGCAUGGACAAUUACCAGGCUCUGAAAAGGCAAGAGUGGAACCUUCUCUGAGACAGUACCUGUGAGUACAUGCGAGAACAUCAGGUAAGCAAUACUGACUUAGGCCUUCUGGCCUCUGUAAAUGUGAGAGAAUAACUUCCAUGACUUUUAGCUGCCAGGUAGUGGGAAUAUACUCCAGCAGCCACAGGAAACUGAUGCAGGAUAAUCAUAAGCGAGGGGUAGGAUGGGGAAGGUAGGAGCAGCGAGGUGGCAGCCUUUGCUUAGGUGAGCCUUAGUUUCCCACCACAGAAUCAUCUUAGGGAUCAAGUGUCUCCCACAGCUUCCUGGGUGUCUGUGGCAUCGAACAUCACAGUGUCUUGGCUGGUGGGAAUCAAUCCUGGUGGGGAUCAAGAGAGAUCAUUGAAUCCUCAGACACAGGAGAGAACUGGUCUGGCUCUUCCAAGCUUCAUCCAUGUCAGCAACGCCCAAUCAUCCACGACUCAUAAGCUAAAAACUGGUUUUUCAAAAUCUUCGCAUCAGGUGUCAUUUAUCAUAAAGGUCUCUGUCUGUGCCACCUGGGAAGAUGGCGCUCCCCACAACACAGGUGGCUGUGACCAUUUUCUGUUCUUUUUCUCUCUUGGAACCUCCACAGACCCUAACUAAGGGCCUUUCCUACCAGUUCUGCCAGAGCCUGGGAAGGGAAUAAUGAAGUAUGAGCACAGGUUACAUCUCCUUUUGGAGUAAGCCUUGUCAGAGGGACAAAAAUACUUUGAGAAUCUCGGAGUAACGAGAUAGCAAAACCUACCAGUCCCACUAUAAAUUCAUUUUUCCAUAACUUAAAUUUUUUCAGUAGGAACAAUUGAGAAUUAAAUGCACCACAGAUUCAAAUUUAAUGUAUCAGAUAAAAAUGAAAGAUCCUGGUUCACAGGGCUGGAGAGAUGACUCAGUGGUUAAGAGCCCUGGCUGCUCUUGCAGAGGACCUGGGUUUGGAUUCCAGCACCCACAUGAUGGCUCACAAUUAUCCAUAAUUCCAGUUCCUGGAGGUUCAGUGUUCUCAACUGCCCCCUGCAGGCACCAGAUCUGAUGAACUAACAGCCAGGAAAGUAAACAACGUGUCUAAGAUCUCACAGCUGGACAGGGAAGAGAAACUACCUGGAUCUCUCUUGACCCACAUCUCCUGCUUUUUGUUGUCCAACAUCAGCUCAGGACUCACUGGAAACGUUGAAUUCUUCCAAAUAUUGGUCCUUUCAGGCUAGAUAGCCCUCUCACAUCCCCAUCGAAAUGUUUCUUGUUCCAGAAAACCAUGCUAACUUCAGAAAAUAAUUCUUCAGAGAUGUUUCCCCUCUGCUCUGCUUCAUUGUUUCUCUCUCAAAGAGACACUGAGUUAAAGACUCAGCAGCAAGUAGAUUGUCUGAAGGUCAACCUCAGUCAACAAGGAAGAGAACACAAGAAUGACUCCGGAAAAGGGGGGUGAGUGACAUGAGCAUUUGGACCCUGUAACCCAGGGCAUCUAAGGGCCCGGAGCCAGUCCAGUCCUGCUGAGACACCAGAACUAAGGGAUCGAGAAAUGAACCUCACCACUGGCAAGCCCAGGAGGAAGGACUGCGUCUGUCUCUCACUCACUGACUGGGGGAUUCUUACAGGGCACCAACCUGCAGACUGAGUGUGCUCUUCUCUCAGGACAGGGGAGCCUGGAGCCCCAGGCAGGCAUUGGCUGUAUUGUUUUAUGAUAAUAGAAGGGAUGCGCAGGGAGCAUGGGUGUGUUUGACACCUGAGGGAUGAGAACAGUUGAUGAAACAGGAAGUGACUCCAUAAACAUCCAGAAUCGCAGCCUGUGAACCCUUUCUGAGGAGAGUAGAAAGGGCAAAAGGUGCUUUCCCAAACCACUGCACCCAAUGAUGGGGGCCGCUGAGUGGGCAGACAAGAGGGAUGAUAAGUGAAGGCCUUGGGACUUGUCCAGUGAGAUACCACAUGACCCCAAACAAGGAAUGCAGUGUACUUGGUCAUGAUGACAGUUCAGCACAGGCUAAAAGCUGGGAGGAAGUCUGUGGAUCUGUGUGUGUGUGUGUGUGUGUGUGUGUGUGUGUGUGUGCUCGUGCAUGUGCAAAAUUACAUUCAGAAGAGCUAGAAAUGUCCCAUUGAGAAGAGUCUAAUGAAGACACUUUAUGAUCUUUAUUUUUAUGUUAUGUAUAUGAGUUUUGCGUGCGUGUAUGUCUGGGCAGCAUGCGUGUGCCUGGUGCCCAUGGAGGAGAGAAGAGAGCAUUGGCUCUUGGGGGGCAGGAGUUGUAAGACAUCACAAGAAUGCUGGGAAUGGAACCUGGAUCCUUUGCAAGAACAGCUAGCGCUCUAACUGCUGAGCCAUCUGUCCAGCCCACGAACUCUAAAUAUACAUGUAAAAGCAGGGCCUGUGGAGAUUUCCUUCCCCACACUGUGAUGUUCUGAAUCCUGGCUACCCUCAUGAGCUAGCAAUGUACACAGCAGUUGCUCUAUUUCAUUGCCAAGGUAGCAUCUAGAAUCUUCUGUCCCUUGAACAACUAAGGCAGCACAGAUUCCAAUUUGGUCCCUCACAAUGAUUGUGUUCCAUCGCUUGGCAUUUAUUUUUAAAUUCUACGAAAACACCAGCACACAGGAUGUUGUGUGUGGUUUUCUCCCUCCAGUAUUUCUGCUGUUCCCCAGCUGUUCAAAACAUGUUGCAGCUUGGCUUCUCCCGCACCCCCUGUGAGGAAGAUUACCUUAAUUACGUGUUUGUGGAACAUUCAGUCAGAGGCAGAAUAUGCUGUAACAAUUACCAAUACGUGGAGCUGGACAUUCUACAUUCAGCAUCCUUAUGACUUCGUAUCCUCCCCCCCAUUCUCUCCCUUCUUCUGUCUCCUCUCUCCUCCCCCACGUCCGUCCCCCCUCUUUCCCUCCCAGUUCUGUCCCUUCUCUUUCCCUUCUCUCUCUUCUCUACAUCCUCCUCUCAAACUUCUAAAACCUUGUGAUCAUAAUUCUCUCCUGCAUCUAACAGACCACAUCAGGGCCAGAGAGAAAGUAUUUUCCCUUCGGUUAAUGUCCAAUAACCAUUUAUCGAGCAUCUACUUCAUGCCGAACACUAGUCUAGAUCUAGAAUCCAUUCUGAUUUAUCAGGUCAUGUUUGCCCUGGUCCAAGAUGCUGGUGUUCCAUGGAGGAAACAGGAAACAUGCACUUCAGAAGGAUGAUAUGCUCAGAGUGGCAGUACACACCGCCGGCCUCAGCCUUUCUGAGGACUUCUCUCCAGAGCUGUAAACACAUGUAAAAGUAUGAAUGUCAUAAUCUUCCCUGCUGUGGGAUGUUCUAUAUGUCAAAUGUGUUGCUGAUUAGUCAAUAAUUAAAACACUGAUUGGCCAUUGGCUAGGCAGGAAGUGUAGGCGGGACAAGGAGGAGAAUAAAGCUGGGAAGUGGAAGGCUGAGUCAGAGAGAGACUGCCAGCCGCCACUAUGAGAAACAGAAUGUGAAGAUACCGGUAAGCCACGAGCCAUGUGGCAAGGUAUAGAUUUAUAAAAAUGGAUUAAUUUAAGCUGAAAGAACAGUUAGCAAGAAGCCUGCCAUGGCCAUACAGUUUGAAACCAAUACAAGUCUCUGUGUUUACUUGGUUGGGUCUGAUAGGCUGUGGGACUGGCAGGUGAGAGAGAUUUGCCCUGACUGUGGGCCAGGCAGGAAAACUCUAGCAACAAAUGGCGCCCAACGUGGUGGCAAGAGUUUCCACCUAAAAACCUGAGAAAAGAUUCUAAAACGGAGCUAAAAACAGUUCCUAAUUGUCUCUCUCAAAUGAGCGGCAGCUGCUGGUUUGAGCUACUGGUGGGUUCCUAGCGUGCGUGCUCGACCUGCCUAUGGUGGGAAUGAGGCCUUUGCAAGUGGCACUUUGAGCUGCAUGGUGGAUUUAGCCUUUGCUGGUGCAGAGCAAAAGGGGAGGUUUCUGGGCUACACGCUGCUUGGCUAAAAGCAUAGACCCCCGAUAGCUCCCAGAGCUGGCGGUAAACCAUGGCCAUGUUGGGAAGCUGAGGUGGGUGGAGCCAGCAGCCACAGCUGCUGCAGUUUAAGGCAAUAGAUUCACAAUAAGACAGAUUCAGAUGUAAUAGUUUACAAUGUGUGUAAAAGAUACGUAGGCUUGAAAGAGACAAAAAAGAUGAUAUAUAGAGUUAUAGAAACAUAGUUUUAAAAAAUAAAGUCUUUAAAGAGACAGUAAAGGUAGUAUAAAAAAUAAGCCACGUAAAAAUGGAUAUUACACAGAGAAUCUGCAUUGUGUUGUCUUUGGGACUUUUAACUGCAGAAAAAUAUUUGAUUGUAAAAGCUGUUGAGUUAUGCCAAAAUGUGUAUUUUAAAGGUGCCUUGACUUCAAAAUUUGGAUAUAAGGAUAUGUUACUUUGGAAAGGAGACUCUGCUUUUGUUCCCACAGAAAGCCAAAGGCUAUGGAUUUGUUCCAGAUUAAGAUACAUCAGGUUUGACCAGCCAAGACCCCCUGAAAGGUCUCCGAUGACACCAUGGCCCAGAUGAUCCAACAUCCAGAAUGGUUUGAAGGCAACUGGCUCAGACGAUACACCCUCAUGGACUUUUCCAUGAUCCUAAAAUUUUCUUUGUAUCCCCAUAAGAUACAGCGCCCCCCUCCAGCAGGAAGUAGUAAGAGAAGCUACGCCCAAAUUCCCAAAUUAUAUGUAAUUUUACUUUGUUAAGGUUAAAACCUUCCUUUUUUUUUUUAAAAAAAAAAAGGGGGGAAGUGCUGUGGGAUGUUCUAUAUGUCAAAUGUGUUGCUGAUUAGUCAAUAAUUAAAACACUGAUUGGCCAUUGGCUAGGCAGGAAGUGUAGGCGGGACAAGGAGGAGAAUAAAGCUGGGAAGUGGAAGGCUGAGUCAGAGAGAGACUGCCAGCCGCCACUAUGAGAAACAGAAUGUGAAGAUACCGGUAAGCCACGAGCCAUGUGGCAAGGUAUAGAUUUAUAAAAAUGGAUUAAUUUAAGCUGAAAGAACAGUUAGCAAGAAGCCUGCCAUGGCCAUACAGUUUGAAACCAAUACAAGUCUCUGUGUUUACUUGGUUGGGUCUGAUAGGCUGUGGGACUGGCAGGUGAGAGAGAUUUGCCCUGACUGUGGGCCAGGCAGGAAAACUCUAGCAACACUUCCCUUAUCUGCUUCCUCAACUCCAGCUUCCUCUUCAGCAACCGUCUGAAAAUAGUAAUGCUCACCUUGCUUCAAGAGGCCAUUUUAUGUAAGUUCCAUUACAGUGUGUUCUUGUAAUUUGACCUAAUUUAUUAUUAAUGUCAGUCUCUUGGUGUGCCUAAUCUAUGUUAAAUUUUACCAGUAGUGUGUAAAUAAUACACACAAACACACACCAGGCUAGCCUCAAAUGGAGAUGCCCCUGCUUCUGCCUUUUGAGUUCGGGUAUUAGAAGUGCAUCACCACAUCUAGAUACUUUUCUCGUUUUUAACAAGGGUUUAUACCAUUACAUGAAUUGGUAUUUGGAGAAGAUGCAGAGGUUAUAGGGGUCCAUGCAUGCUAAGCACAUGCUCUACCACUAAGCUACAUCUCUAACCCUGCAAUAAUUUUAAUAUCCCAGACUCAUAUUUUUUGGAAGUACAAAAGAAGCUCAUAAAACUUCUACUGAUAUGGGCACUGGGUUGGUAGAACUGAGAUUCAGUAUCCAAAGGAGCAGAGUUGAGUAAUUUGACUGGCACUAGACUUCAGGAAGGCUUCUCCUAAGGCUCUCCUGUUACAGAUUCCUUUAAGUCAGGAAAUGGGUCACCUGAUCUGGAUGCGUGUGUACAAACGUCUGCUCUUCCAUCUGUCCUUUCCUCUAUCAGUUAAAUCAUUCAGUCCAGUUUUUGUUACAUCUAGAUAUAAAUUCACGUGGUUAAUACCAAUCAUACUGCCAAUUUAUGGAGCUAGCUAUUGAUCACAUUGCCUAUGGUGUUUAUUUAUACACUUAUUAAUGAUGAAAGAGGAAAUGACUAUUCACAGGAAUGAGUAUCUUCUGAGCAUGUGGCUGUUCAGUCACACAAUAGAAAGCACUUUUGGUUUUUAUUUACUUUUCUGAAGGCUCAGAAGUUUCUUUUUAAAUACUAUUUUGAUUUUGAGGGUAGGGAUGUUUUGCCUGCAUGUAUGUGUGUACACUAUGUGCCUGCAGUAGCCAGGAGAGGGCACUGGGUCUCCUGGACCUAGAGUGACAGAGGGUUGUGAGCUGUCAUGAGGGUAUGGGAAUCAAAUCCAGGUCCUCUGGAAGAGCAGCCAGUGCUCUUAACCACUGAGCAUCUCUAACUACUUAAGUUAUAUUUUAUUUUUUUAAUGUGAAAAUGGCUGAAUUGUGCAAGAAUGCUAAAAAGCUACAGAAAAAUGUUACUAAGGAAAUGGCAUAUGGACUCAUGCACUGAAAUAAGAUUUAUUGUGGGUAAUGAAUGGGCACAAAAUAUAAAGAAUGAGAAAGUUACUGGAAACAUUGAGAAGAGUGGAAUGUGGUGAUUCAGAGUAUUGAAGCCUAAGAGCAUUACAUAGGGAAUCUGCUAAAGUGAGAGCUUGGAAAUGGGAGCCUUGGGAGCAGCCUUUCAGUGUAUUAAAUUAAUCCCUCACUGCUGUCAAAUGGAUAGCCUUCCCUGGACCCACUGUUUGAGAAAGGCACCAAAGAAUAAAAUUGUUCUGGCAUGCAGAAAAACAACUUACCUACAAAGAACAUCCCAGUAGCACAAUCCAGCAAUGGAUUUCACACUACAGAAUGCCAAGCUGAAGUCAUCAUCUGGAAAAGGUCCAGGCUAUUUUCAAAUAAUUGGCCAGAUAAACAGAUGCAUCAAUGUUUCAUUAAUAGCCAUUGCACUCUACUUAAUGCAUAUUUUAUCCAGCAUAUGGCUGAGUCGUUGUUAAUUCCCAUAUGGAGAACUAAAUUCCAGUAGGUCUUUGGUAGAGCCACAAACCUACUAGGAUCCUGUGUUUGGGGAUUCUCAUGCAGGCAGUAGUCAGCUUGGAGUUGGAGCAGAAGACUCGACAUGCAGGUCACAUGUUAUGUAUCUUUUCGGCAUUGUUCAUUUCUCUGCUGGCUUUAGGAGCAAGUUCAAGCUUUGAUGGUACAUUUAGAUGGAAUGUUAAUAAACUUGUGGAUAUGUAGAGCGAAGGAAGAAAACAGCCAAGAUCAUGGAUCCUCUAGUAGUAAGCCAAAGAAUAAAAGAUCAAAGACACUGGGUUUAUCACUUAACAGAGAAUAAUGGUGUGUCUCUAAUGUCUGGAUUGUACAACAUGCUAGUGCAUGUUGUGACUCUCCUCCUUCCCAUACUACGCUUCAGCAAAUGAUGGUAACAUUGUGUGUUAGUAUUUAUGAUGAAGGUUAAGAGCAGGGAACCACAAGAGACCCUGAUUCAGCCUUGGGAAAGGCAUGAGGAGGGACGUCUAAAAGGAUGACCAGAACAGCCCAUUGGAUGGGGAAAGAGGCCUUUGCAGGCAACGGAUGGAUUAAGGCCCACACAGGACAGCAUGACCAGCUUGGGAACUCAAAGUAGUUCAUAGUUUGAUAUGUUGUGUGGAAGGUAAAGAAUUCUGAAUAAUGGCUCUGGGGAAAGCUGUAAGGAUCUGAUAAUAGAGUAUCAACAGCAUCCAAGAACCAAGCUUCAGUUUGAAGGCAGAACAAUGCUAGUCAGGGCUUUCACAAGGAAGAUGGUUAUAUUGAGAAUAUUCUUUAGGCUUAAUGUAUUAAAUGGGCAGGAGAGGGUGAGAUUUGAGGAAGGACAGUCUCAUGUGAAAGCAGGAAUUGCUUAGGAGAGACACAGCAUAAAUGAAAAUGGAGAAGAGUAGGCAGUUGGUAGAUGGAUUAGGUAGGUUGACUUGAUGCAAUUUAAUGUUUGAUGAUAGACAAGUGUAUUAAAUAGUUGAGAGACAGUCACUUUUAGGUUCUCAUGGGCUUAUGGAAGAAGUGAUCACUAGAUAGUAUAUUACUCAGCUUUUUAUUUAUGUAACAAACCCCUGGAAUAAAUAAACUUAAUACGAUGACAGAUUUACCUGGUUCAUGGUUUCAAAGCUUUCAGCCCAUGAUCAGUUGGCCCCGUGGCAUUCUGGCCCAUGGCAUGGUUCUGUCAUGGUGGGAGCAGGUGGCAGAUGGAAGCAGAGAGAAUCAGAAGGUAUUCAAGUCUCAAUAUCCCCAAUAAAGGCAUGUUUGUUUGUUUGUUUGUUUUGUUUUUCGAGACAGGGUCUCUCUGUGUAGUUUUGGUGCCUGUCCUGGAUCUCGCUCUGUAGACCAGGCUGGCCUCGAACUCACAGCGAUCCUCCUGGCUUUGCCUCCUGAGUGCUGGGAUUAAAGGUGUGUGCCACCCAGCAUUAAAGGCAUGUU